AGAGGGUGCAAGCGUUAWUCGGAAUUACUGGGCGUAAAGCGUGCGUAGUCGGUUAUCUAAGUCGGAUGUGAAAUCCCCGGGCUCAACCUGGGAAUUGCAUUCGAUACUGGAUAGCUAGAGUUCGGCAGAGGGAAGUGGAAUUUCGGGUGUAGCGGUGAAAUGCGUAGAUAUCCGAAGGAACAUCAGUGGCGAAAGCGACUCCCUGGACCAGAACUGACGAUCAGGCACGAAAGCGUGGGGAGCAAACAGGAUUAGAUACCCUGGUAGUCCACGCCAUAAACGAUGACAACUAGACGUUGGGAGGGUAAGCCUCACAGUGUCGCAGCUAACGCGUUAAGUUGUCCGCCUGGGGAGUACGGCCGCAAGGUUG
rnacentral:rRNA from 1 species